GUCGGGAGCGGGCGAAGCGGGCGGUUGCCGGACCCCUAAGAAAGGCCGGUGACUGCUUCGCUGUUUCUCCCGUGCCCGACGCAUUUCCCCCCGCACCGAGGACGCCGCGACCGAUCGGGAGUCGGCCUUAGGGCGAUUCCAGGAGGUGACCGGGGACGGACGCACUCGUGCCCCGUCCUCGGUUUUUAACGGAGUCGUGCGUGGCGCGACACCCGAUCGAGGUUGACGUUCCCCGUAGGGGAACAAGCCGUCUCCUGCCGACUCCGGCAGCGGAGCAUCGGGCCAGUGUGCACCGUCGCAGCCGAACCACUCCCGGUAGUGGCCGGUUCGACGGGAUGCCGUCGUUGGGCUCGAGCGACCGCGGAGGGAAGCAUGGACUGGUCGGCGGCGAGUAGGUCGGUCACCCACCCGACCCGUCUUGAAACACGGACCAAGGAGUCUAACAUGUGCGCGAGUCGCAGGGUCUUGUUCAGGCCCUCGGGCGCAAUGAAAGUGAAGGUCGCCUAGCGCGACCGAGUUGGGACUCCYGCCUCUUUCGAGGGCGGGAAGCACCAACGGCCCGUCCCCUCCGAUCCGUCGGUUGGGCGGAGUUCGAGCGUACACGUUGGGACCCGAAAGAUGGUGAACUAUGCCUGGGCAGAACGAAGCCAGAGGAAACUCUGGUGGAGGUUCGUAGCGGUCUGACGUGC
rnacentral:rRNA from 1 species